UGACGAAUGAGUCUGGAACAGAUGUGUGAACUGCAUGGUCUGCCAUCUCUGGUCAUUUCCCAAGAGGGUUGGAUACUGAGGAUCUCUGGGGCUCCUUCCCCUCUGAUACCCUGUGAGCCAGACCCUGACAACCAGGACCUUGGAGAACGGAGGGAACAAUCCUGCUUCCCAGGCUCCAGGAAUUUGCUCCUUUCCUCUACCCCAUCCUGCUCCCUUGGGGCCUUGAUCACUUUUCCUACCCUGACCUGCAGAUAGCCUUGUGGCUAAUGACUUUGUGUGCUAAUCCUCCCCCAGGUGUGUCCCAGAGGGCACCUGGAGAGCGGUAGUGGGGUCUCAGUGGUAGGGGGAGCACUUUCCUACAUCACAAUGCCCAGGUGCUUUUGAGCACUUAAUCUGCCAGCUUGUCAGGCAGGUCUGUGGUCUCAGGUGCUGACUGACUGGCCAAAGAGUUAUGGGGAGGGGCAGCUAAACCCCUGUGGCCACAGUCAACCCCUUCAGAGCACAGGGGCUCUUCUUGGGACCUCUGAAGCCUGGACAAGAGGAGAGAAGCAGAGAAACCUGGGGGCACCAUUAUGAUGCGCCACGCAGUGGAGUUGCGUGGGUGGGAGAAGCACACGGCUCUGGGUCUUCAGAACUGGCCCCCAAGAUGAUGAAACAGGCGUGGAGAGGAUGAGUAACUUUCCCAAGGGCUGAACUAGCAUCUUAAUGCCUCACAUUUAAAAGCAUGGAACGUGAGCUUUGGAUCUGGCUCCCAGUUCAAGUGUUCUGACCAUCACUCUAGCUAUUAAUAUCCUGCAAUCCAUAGAAUUCAUGUUGGGGAACAUUGUCCUAGCAGAAGAGAUCCCUAGUUCCAUUGACCUAAUGGAAGAGAACCCGAGUUCCACAAACCCCUUAAUGGGCAUCCACUUCUGAGCAAUCAAUAAAGAAGCAUUAAAGUUUACCAUGUGUAAGGUCCUGUGGGGGAAUGUGGAGAAUGUGGGAGGCUACAAAGCUGUGCUGAGGCCCUGAGCCUGUUCUCAAGGAAUCCGUGGCAGGACGGAGAGAGGUGAAGCACAGCCACACCAUUGAGGCUCAAGGAGGCCAAGUGUGAUUUGGUGCUAAAGAUGGUGUAAGGAGAUGCACCCAGGAAGGAGGCCAGGGGAGAGAAAGGAGUUGGGUGAUCAAUUGGUGCUAGCCCAGGCAGCAGGGAUGUUCCUUCAAAGAAGAAGGAAAAGGCAGCCCAACUUGGAACCAAAGACAGCAAUCCCAGUAAGGCUGAGAACCCGGCCAGGUACACCAUCAGGUGUGGAGGAGGAAACUUGGCAGGGUCCUGGCUGAGCGAAUGGCAGAGUGGUGGAAGAGCAGCCACCGCCGAAGCCCUGCACAGAAGGAGCAUCCGUGAAUAAGACGUCUUGGCUGUUCCCAGGGACGGG
rnacentral:lncRNA from 1 species